GGGGGCGUCACGGUCUCGACGGGUUGUGCCCAGGCGAAAGAAGCAGGCGGAGUUCCGAGCCCUCCUAAAACGAUCGGACAACGUAUAAACGCGAACAGCGAAUACGCACUCGCAGCCUAAUCUAGGCUAGCACGGUUGCAGGGCAACGGCUCCGUCACGGGCCUGCAAACGUCAAAUAAGACGGAUACUGCGCGCGGUCACCUCGACGCGCGCGGGAAGUAGACUGGGGUUGGCGGCUGCGGUAAUCUUGCUCGGGAGAGUACGCAACCGCGAGAUCAAAGCCUGAGCUAAGCCUGUAGAUGCUUUCGUGGGGGUCUUCUCGGACACCGGUUCAACUCCGGUCGCCUCCACCA
rnacentral:tmRNA from 1 species